GCCAGCAUGGCAUAGUGGUUUGAGUGUUGGACUAUGACUGUGGAGGCCAAGGUUCAAUUCCUGCUUGGCA